ACUACGUUCCGCGGGAGCCGUACUCGGCAUCGAUGAGAUGCCGCUGGCUGAGAGGGCGAAUAACGCCGACCGCUUUUACCUGAUGCGGGUUAUGCCGCCGGAGGGAGGAAUGGCAGUGAAUGC
rnacentral:ncRNA from 2 species